rnacentral:lncRNA from 1 species
AGAAUCACAUCUAACAAAUCGGAACAGACGCCACCUGUGUGCGUCCUAACUGAAUGUUAGCUGGGGUCUGGUUGGACACUAGAUAUCCCCUGUGGACAACUGGACAAACAUCAGGAGAGACCAAUGGAUAGUUUUUCUCUUUGCUCUGAAGUUCUUAGGCAUGGAGGGUCCAUUUGAGAAUUAGUUGAAAAAGUUGUCUUUGGUGACUUAGAUUAAAUAACUAUCAAUGUUUUUCCUCUAGAGAACUGGCACUAUGACUUUUGCAGAUACUUGGUUUUUAAUAAAUUCAGGGCAAAUAAUUCACUUCUCUCCCCAAGUGUAAAAAUAUUUUGUUCUUAUCACCCCCAGGAAUAGAGUGAUCUGUGUCCCCAGGGGCAGUAGGUACUCAGUAAAUGUUUGUGGAAUUGAUUUGAAUUCAGCCUUUUGAGUGACAUUUAACCAACAAAGCAUUUUCUCCCAUUAUAUUACCUGUAUUCUAGGUAGCUAUGUAGGCCUCUCCCCAAAUGCAGUG